UACGAAGGGGGCUAGCGUUGCUCGGAAUCACUGGGCGUAAAGGGUGCGUAGGCGGGUCUUUAAGUCAGGGGUGAAAUCCUGGAGCUCAACUCCAGAACUGCCUUCGAUACUGGGAGUCUCGAGUUCGGGAGAGGUGAGUGGAAUUCCCAGUGUAGCGGUGAAAUGCGUAGAUAUCAAGAGGAACACCAGUGGCGAAGGCGAGUCCCUGGACAACACCUGACACUGAGGCACGAAAGCUAGGGGAGCAAACAGG
rnacentral:rRNA from 1 species